rnacentral:rRNA from 1 species
AAAACGACUCUCGGCAACGGAUAUCUCGGCUCUCGCAUCGAUGAAGAACGUAGCGAACUGCGAUACCUGGUGUGAAUUGCAGAAUCCCGUGAACCAUCGAGUCUUUGAACGCAAGUUGCGCCCGAAGCCAUUAGGCCGAGGGCACGUCUGCCUGGGCGUCACGC